AAAAAAGAGACAAACAUAAAAGAUACACAAGACUAAAAAAUAAAAGAUGGAGAAGAAGUGCAUGUGCAUGUUGAUGAUUAUGUUCGUUGCAUUGACGAUGAUACCAUUACCAGCAAUGAGUGAAUCGUAUGAAGCUUGUCAUGAAAGGUGCAUUCACUCGUGCCAAAUAUUUUUUGAGGGAGUUGAAAAAUGCAUUCACGAUUGUGUUGGUAUUAAAUGUCAUAAAACACAUGUACUCCCUCGGAUAGCGGCUAAAGAGAUAUUUCAAGAAAUUCAUACAUAGAGAGAUAUGUUAUUAAACACACAUGAUGUUUAAGUUUACUACUCUUUGAAUUAUAUAAUUUUGAAUAAUAAAAUUCCAUCAUUCUUAGAAUUCA